AUCUCUGCUUCGGACAGGAACUGCAGGGAAGGCGCAGGGAGCAGUACGCAUGCACGGCUGGCACCGAGCAGGCCUGCAGGCAAAGCUGGGGGCUGCAGGUGCUCCAUCACCACCUCCCCCAGACCUGUGCAGCUCUCUGUCCGUGCAGGGGGACCUGUGCUGUUGCUGCUGGAUCACAUGGGGUAUGGGUGGAGCAGGAGUGCUAAUCCCUUAUUGAGCAAAACACCGCAAAAAGCAGAGGAUUGCCACAUUGCUGGGCCAGCUCAUUGGGGCCUUUUUCACCUUUCUCAGUACAAUUCCCAUUUUACUAUGUGAAAAAGAAGAGAACGUCACACUGGGACCCCCUGCUUUCCUCCCAUGGAAAGCAGUCCCAUGGGCCUGGCCAGGGCUUUCACCCCAGCACCAAGAGCAUCACCUGAAAUGCAUGUUAAGAACUAAGAACACAUUCAUCUAAAGGGUUAUCACAGGACCUCUGAGGGCUGGCCAGCUGAAGUUAUUUGCCUAUAAAUCAUGCAAUUAGAGAAGAGGUAUUGCAUGCAUUACAAAGUAACUGAAGUCAGCAAAAUCUCCACCCAUGGAUCCACAAAAGGGACUGAAGCAGUUUGCUAUUCUAAAGAAGUGGAAGAAAGAAAUGGGAAAGUCAACUAAAUACAGACUUUGUUGCCCUCUACUGUUUACAUGGUUAACGUGCAAAGCAAAUUUUCUCUAGUUAACACAAACCUGAGAAUGCUGCAGUAACAGACAACAGAAGCCAAGAUUCAUGAUGGUAUGUAGUAUUUGGGAGAAAAAAAAAAUCUUGGGCUAGGAAGAGACUUCUGCAUUAAGAGUGCUCUAAAGAAAACACAACAGCCUUCACAAGGACAAAGCAUAGAAACAGAGGGCACCUUUCAGCAGCAAGCAAUGAAGCAAGGUCACAGUAAACAGGAACAGAACUCAACAGGCCUGAAUGCCAGAGCCACUGCCUAGCCAGUGCUGGAUGCUGUGAGCUCAUCAGUGCAAUUUUCAGGGCUGGAUUAGCCUUUACUAACCUUGACUAUGAAUUCAUUGUGCAAACAUCUGAUCUGGCAAGAGAGUAGCAAUGGUGGUUACAUACACUUCCUCCCAACAUGUACCAACCCAGGCCAGUGCUCCAGCUGACUUCAGUGCUGACAGUCCUGUCUGUUCUAGCUGAUGGCUACCUUAUGUGCUAUGGGUUUUGCUUUACUUCUUUUACCUCCAUUCUCCUUUUAGCCUUAAAAAAAAAAAAAAUCAGUGUUGACUUCACACAACUUUAUUGGCAGUUUCUACUGAAGUGCUUAUUAAUGACUAUACAAAAUACUGAGCAAUUCCUCUCCACCACUCAGACAAAAAGCCUGAACAGCCAUUUGUAGAGUGGAGAAAAAAAAAAAAAACAACAAAAAACAAUGCUGAAGGAGAGGGGAGCAAGGGGGAGAGCAAACCCCUUACCCUCUCCAAGCCUGUAAAACUGUAACGGGAAGAAAUAACACCCACAACCUGUAGCAGGCUGCAGAGACCUGCAGUCAAAGCCACUCCAGAGAAUCUCAGUGCAAGUAGGAGACUGUAUACACCCAACACACUGCAAAGGAACAGCUAAUCCCUGAAAAAAUGUCAAAGGCAUAGUGCUGCUUCCGUCAACAUCUGCACGUGCCACUUGCUCAAGCAGAUCUGCCUCCCAUUCAUGAUGACAAUCCCCUUGUGGCUCCCUGCUCUUUGCUUUUAGAGGAAAGAGAAGCCAGUUAUGAAUGGAAAGCAGUCCAUAAAAACAUUAACACACUCACUUUGUGAAGCUGAAACAUUACCUAGGUACCAAUUACAUAGCAGCAGUGACCGAGCGAGGUCUCAUAACCUCUCCUUAAGCACCACCUGCUCCUGACUGCGCUUUUCUUGCAAGGGUUCCUCAUACUGAUAGGAAGCAGCCUCCCCUCACUGUCUCUGCAUUGCUGUGGAGUGAAUUUGCAGUUAAAGACUUCGCCCUCCAGUGGAUGACACCCUCAACUGCCAUCUAGCUCAAAUGCAGCAAGAUUUAAGCUACUACAACUGUAAUGCUACCUUCACUGCUGUUAGAAGCAUAUCA